rnacentral:rRNA from 1 species
AGCGGCAACAGCUCAAAUUUGAAAUCUGGCUCUUUUAGAGUCCGAGUUGUAAUUUGCAGAGGGCGCUUUGGCUUUGGCAGCGGUCCAAGUUCCUUGGAACAGGACGUCACAGAGGGUGAGAAUCCCGUACGUGGUCGCUGGCUAUUGCCGUGUAAAGCCCCUUCGACGAGUCGAGUUGUUUGGGAAUGCAGCUCUAAAUGGGAGGUACAUUUCUUCUAAAGCUAAAUAUUGGCCAGAGACCGAUAGCGCACAAGUAGAGUGAUCGAAAGAUGAAAAGCACUUUGGAAAGAGAGUCAAACAGCACGUGAAAUUGUUGAAAGGGAAGCGCUUGCAGCCAGACUUGCUUGCAGUUGCUCAUCCGGGCUUUUGCCCGGUGCACUCUUCUGCAGGCAGGCCAGCAUCAGUUUGGGCGGUAAGAUAAAGGUCUCUGUCACGUACCUCUCUUCGGGGAGGCCUUAUAGGGGAGACGACAUAUUACCAGCCUGGACUGAGGUCCGCGCAUCUGCUAGGAUGCUGGCGUAAUGGCUGUAAGCGGCCCGUCUUGAAACACGGACCAAGGAGUCUAACAUCUAUGCGAGUGUUUGGGUGUCAAGCCCGAGCGCGUAAUGAAAGUGAACGGAGGUAGGAACCCGCAAGGGUGCACUAUCGACCGAUCCUGAUGUCUUCGGAAGGAUUUGAGUAAGAGCAUGGCUGUUGGGACCCGAAAGAUGGUGAACUAUGCUUGAAUAGGGUGAAGCCAGAGGAAACUCUGGUGGAGGCUCGCAGCGGUUCUGACGUGCAAAUCGAUCGUCAAAUUUGGGCAUAGGGCGAAAGACU